rfam:Egretta garzetta contig19316, whole genome shotgun sequence.
GUACUCUGGGUUCUCUUCAGAUGGUAUAAAUCUUUCGCCUUUUACUAAAGAUUUCCGUGGAGAGGAACAGGCAGAGGUGCUGAG